UGUGAAAAAAAAGUCAGGUCUAGUCUGGCAACUUCCUGAAUUAUAUAUGUCAUAAAUCAUAAUAGUAAUUAGGUCCGGGGAAUGGCUAUGUGAUGCUACCUAUUGUCAUUACCACUAACAUUUCCAAGUUCCAACAAAAGCGUUAUUUUAAGAGGACCUACUUACGUUAACAGAUUGAUUUUAUUUGUUUAUAUAUUGUAAAUAGCUACUGAUAAUUGUAUAAUUUAUUUAUUGUUUACAAUACGGG